rnacentral:misc_RNA from 1 species
UUGAUUGCGAAUUGUUGCCUUCUGUGCUGGCCAGCUCUGGCAAGUGCACGUCGGUGACUUUCAUCCAAUACCCUGUGCACCUUUGGCCUUUGCUAGCCUCGGCUGGCAGAGGAAUUUUUACACACACUCGAAUGUAAUGAAAUUUAUUGUCGUGCGCAAGCACUAAUGUA